rnacentral:rRNA from 1 species
AACGAACGCUGGCGGCAUGCCUAACACAUGCAAGUCGAACGAGACCUUCGGGUCUAGUGGCGCACGGGUGCGUAACGCGUGGGAAUCUGCCCUUGGGUCCGGAAUAACAGUUGGAAACGACUGCUAAUACCGGAUGAUGACGUAAGUCCAAAGAUUUAUCGCCCAAGGAUGAGCCCGCGUAGGAUUAGCUAGUUGGUGAGGUAAAGGCUCACCAAGGCGACGAUCCUUAGCUGGUCUGAGAGGAUGAUCAGCCACACUGGGACUGAGACACGGCCCAGACUCCUACGGGAGGCAGCAGUGGGGAAUAUUGGACAAUGGGCGAAAGCCUGAUCCAGCAAUGCCGCGUGAGUGAUGAAGGCCUUAGGGUUGUAAAGCUCUUUUACCCGGGAUGAUAAUGACAGUACCGGGAGAAUAAGCGCCGGCUAACUCCGUG